rnacentral:rRNA from 1 species
GAUUGAACGCUGGCGGCAGGCCUAACACAUGCAAGUCGAGCGGUAGCACAGAGAGCUUGCUCUCGGGUGACGAGCGGCGGACGGGUGAGUAAUGUCUGGGAAACUGCCUGAUGGAGGGGGAUAACUACUGGAAACGGUAGCUAAUACCGCAUAAUGUCGCAAGACCAAAGUGGGGGACCUUCGGGCCUCAUGCCAUCAGAUGUGCCCAGAUGGGAUUAGCUAGUAGGUGGGGUAACGGCUCACCUAGGCGACGAUCCCUAGCUGGUCUGAGAGGAUGACCAGCCACACUGGAACUGAGACACGGUCCAGACUCCUACGGGAGGCAGCAGUGGGGAAUAUUGCACAAUGGGCGCAAGCCUGAUGCAGCCAUGCCGCGUGUGUGAAGAAGGCCUUCGGGUUGUAAAGCACUUUCAGCGGGGAGGAAGGCGUUAAGGUUAAUAACCUUGGCGAUUGACGUUACCCGCAGAAGAAGCACCGGCUAACUCCGUGCCAGCAGCCGCGGUAAUACGGAGGGUGCAAGCGUUAAUCGGAAUUACUGGGCGUAAAGCGCACGCAGGCGGUCUGUCAAGUCGGAUGUGAAAUCCCCGGGCUCAACCUGGGAACUGCAUUCGAAACUGGCAGGCUAGAGUCUUGUAGAGGGGGGUAGAAUUCCAGGUGUAGCGGUGAAAUGCGUAGAGAUCUGGAGGAAUACCGGUGGCGAAGGCGGCCCCCUGGACAAAGACUGACGCUCAGGUGCGAAAGCGUGGGGAGCAAACAGGAUUAGAUACCCUGGUAGUCCACGCCGUAAACGAUGUCGAUUUGGAGGUUGUGCCCUUGAGGCGUGGCUUCCGGAGCUAACGCGUUAAAUCGACCGCCUGGGGAGUACGGCCGCAAGGUUAAAACUCAAAUGAAUUGACGGGGGCCCGCACAAGCGGUGGAGCAUGUGGUUUAAUUCGAUGCAACGCGAAGAACCUUACCUGGUCUUGACAUCCACAGAACUUUCCAGAGAUGGAUUGGUGCCUUCGGGAACUGUGAGACAGGUGCUGCAUGGCUGUCGUCAGCUCGUGUUGUGAAAUGUUGGGUUAAGUCCCGCAACGAGCGCAACCCUUAUCCUUUGUUGCCAGCGGUUCGGCCGGGAACUCAAAGGAGACUGCCAGUGAUAAACUGGAGGAAGGUGGGGAUGACGUCAAGUCAUCAUGGCCCUUGCGACCAGGGCUACACACGUGCUUCAAUGGCAUAUACAAAGAGAAGCGACCUCGCGAGAGCAAGCGGACCUCAUAAAGUAUGUCGUAGUCCGGAUUGGAGUCUGCAACUCGACUCCAUGAAGUCGGAAUCGCUAGUAAUCGUAGAUCAGAAUGCUACGGUGAAUACGUUCCCGGGCCUUGUACACACCGCCCGUCACACCAUGGGAGUGGGUUGCAAAAGAAGUAGGUAGCUUAACCUUCGGGAGGGCGCUUACCACUUUGUGAUUCAUGACUGGGGUGAAGUCGUAACAAGG